AUGGCCUCUUCCAACGACAACAACAAUGAUGUUGAAACCGAUUUCUUUCCAUUCUAUCGCCUCUAUAAAGACGGUCGAGUAGACGUUUCUAUGAACUUGCUGGUGUACACCAAGUUCCACCGUCUCUGGAAGAUCCAGAGACUGGUGUAUCUCUGCUAGACUCUACCUCCCAAAAAACACCGCACCCGAUCAAAAACUCCCCGUCCUAUUGUAUUACCACGGCGGAGGAUUUGUAUUAGGAUCUGCAUUUUUCAAAACAGAGCAUUGUUACCUCAACCAUCUGGUUUUCGAAUCAAAUUGCAUCGCGAUUUCUGUAGAUUACCGUCUUGCCCCUGAGCAUGACAUCCACACAAUCUACCAGGAUUGUUGGGAUGCUAUUCAGUGGGUCGCGUCACAUUCUGUUUCAGAUACAAUUAACAGAGACCCAUGGAUAGAAAAUCACAGUAAUUUUAAUCACGUGUUUGUAGGGGGUGAUAGUGCUGGAGGCAAUAUAGUUUAUAAUAUGAUCAUGAGAGCGGGGAGGGAAAAAUUGAUCGGAGAUUUGAAAAUUUUAGGUGCAAUACUUGGAUUUCCUCUUUUGCUAAUACCAUCGAUUGAAAACUUCGAUAAAGGUUUGGCUUACAAGAUUUGGCAUACCAUUUGCCCGCUUUCUGAGGGGGAAAAUGAUAAUCCAAUGGUUAAUCCAGUCUCGACAAAGAGCCCUGACUUAUCGAUGUAUGUUAGGGUGCUCGAGACUUUUCGUGUGUACGGGAGAGAAAGACGAACUUAUCCUAGCUGAAGUUGGGACGAAAUUCGUCGAAGCUGUGAAGAAAAGCGGAUGGAAAGGGGAAAUUGAGUUGAUUGAAGUUGAAGGUGAAGUUCAUGCCUUUCAGUGUGAGAAUCCUCAAGCUCCUAAAUCUAAACAUUUGAUCAAACGUAUCGCUUCUUUUAUCCAACGCUAAGUG